rnacentral:rRNA from 1 species
UACAGAGGAUGCAAGCGUUAUCCGGAAUGAUUGGGCGUAAAGCGUCUGUAGGUGGCUUUUUAAGUCCGCCGUCAAAUCCCAGGGCUCAACUCUGGACAGGCGGUGGAAACUACCAAGCUUGAGUACGGUAGGGGCAGAGGGAAUUUCCGGUGUAGCGGUGAAAUGCGCAGAUAUCAGGAGGAACACCGAUUGCGAAGGCAGCUCGCUGGGACGUAACUGACGCUGAGACGCGAAGCGUGGGGAGCAAACAGG